rnacentral:tRNA from 2 species
GGACACGUGCCUGAAUUAAAGGGCCACCUUGAUAGGGUGAAAAAUAGGGGUUAAAUUCCUCUCGUCUCCU